rnacentral:tRNA from 1 species
GCAGUGGUGGUUCAGCGGUAGAAUUCCUACCUUCCGUACAGGAGAUCCAGGUUCAAUUCCUGACCAACGCA